rnacentral:rRNA from 1 species
GGGUUUAUCCGUUGGUCGGGCUUUUGGGUCUGUACUGGCGUGAUGGAUUCCUACCUUCUGAAUAACCAGCAUGCCAUUAAUUUGGUGCGUUGGGGAAGCAGGACUGUUACCUUGAAAAAAUUAGAGUGCUUAAAGCAGGCCAUUGCCUGAAUACAUUAGCAUGGAAUAAUGAAAUAGGACGCAUGGUUCUAUUUUGUUGGUUUCUAGGAUCACCGUA